AUUGAACGCUGGCGGCAUGCCUUACACAUGCAAGUCGAACGGCAGCACGGGUGCUUGCACCUGGUGGCGAGUGGCGAACGGGUGAGUAAUACAUCGGAACAUGUCCUGUAGUGGGGGAUAGCCCGGCGAAAGCCGGAUUAAUACCGCAUACGAUCCACGGAUGAAAGCGGGGGACCUUCGGGCCUCGCGCUAUAGGGUUGGCCGAUGGCUGAUUAGCUAGUUGGUGGGGUAAAGGCCUACCAAGGCGACGAUCAGUAGCUGGUCUGAGAGGACGACCAGCCACACUGGGACUGAGACACGGCCCAGACUCCUACGGGAGGCAGCAGUGUGGAAUUUUGGACAAAGGGCGAAAGCCUGAUCCAGCAAUGCCGCGUGUGUGAAGAAGGCCUUCGGGUUGUAAAGCACUUUUGUCCGGAAAGAAAUCCUUGACUCUAAUACAGUCGGGGGAUGACGGUACCGGAAGAAUAAGCACCGGCUAACUACGUG
rnacentral:rRNA from 1 species